GACGAACGCUGGCGGCGUGCCUAAUACAUGCAAGUCGAGCGCAGGAAACUGACGGAACUCUUCGGAGGGAAGGCAGCGGAAUGAGCGGCGGACGGGUGAGUAACACGUAAGGAACCUGCCUUAAGGAUUGGGAUAACUCCGAGAAAUCGGAGCGAAUACCGGAUAGUUCAUCGGACCGCAUGGUCUGUUGAUGAAAGGCGCUUCGGCGUCACGUUGCGUUGGCCUUGGGGUGCAUUAGGUAGUUGGUGGGGUAACGGCCCACCAAGGCGAGGGUGCAUAGCCGACCUGAGAGGGUGAUCGGCCACACUGGGACUGAGACACGGCCCAGACUACUACGGGAGGCAGCAGUAGGGAAUCUUCCACAAUGGACGAAAGUCUGAUGGAGCAACGCCGCGUGAGUGAUGAAGGUUUUCGGAUCGUAAAACUCCGUUGUAAGGGAAGAACACGUACGAGAGGAAAUGCUCGUACCUUGACGGUACCUUACGAGAAAGCCACGGCUAACUACGUGCCAGCAGCCGCGGUAACAC
rnacentral:rRNA from 1 species